CCUACGGGUGGCAGCAGUGAGGAAUAUUGGUCAAUGGACGCAAGUCUGAACCAGCCAAGCCGCGUGCAGGAAGACGGCCCUAUGAGUUGUAAACUGCUUUUGUACAAGGGUAAACGCAGAUACGCGUACCUUUCUGAAAGUAUCUUACGAAUAAGGAUCGGCUAACUCCGUGCCAGCAGCCGCGGUAAUACGGAGGAUUCAAGCGUUAUCCGGAUUUAUUGGGUUUAAAGGGUGCGUAGACGGUCGGAUAAGUUAGAUGUGAAAGUCCGAGGCUCAACUUCAGAAUUGCCUCUGAUACUGUCAGGCUAGAGAGUAGUUGCGGUAGGCGGAAUGUAUGGUGUAGCGGUGAAAUGCUUAGAGAUCAUGAAGAACACCGAUUGCGAAGGCAGCUUACCAAGCUACUUCUGACGUUGAGGCACGAAAGCGUGGGGAGCAAACAGGAUUAGAUACCCGGGUAGUC
rnacentral:rRNA from 1 species